AUCUCCACACUGAGUCCA
rnacentral:miRNA from 1 species